ensembl:lncRNA
AGUGAGUAAGACGGACAGGGAGAGGAGAGAGAACUGGAAGCUGGCCUUCAGUAACUCAGGCGCGGCUUACUAUCAUAGAGGAGUAGAGACAGGAGAGGAAGAGAGAGCGAACUGGGAGCUGGCUUCAGAACUCGAGCGGCUUCUACAUAGCGUGAGUAGAGGGGACAUGGAGAGAGAGAGGACUGGGAGCUGGCCUUCAGUAACUCAGGAGAGGCUUACUACAUAGAGUGAGUAGAGACAGGAA